CUUUACACAAAACAGCCAAUCAGAGAGCAGCACUACUAAAAUAGAACUCCCAGGAGGUAACAGCGUGUCACACAUGUGAUGUCAUAACCAUUGUCCACUAGAGAGCAGCACUGAGCAGAUAUAACACUGCUCCUGCUCAUUCUUCAUCAGUGAGGGGCCGGUGCUGGACACUGUAGGGACCGAGAAUGCAAAGUCAUAUACACUACUGUGACUGAUGCACUAUUUCCAGGAUGUGGAGUAGCAUUUCCGGACCUACAGCAAGAAGUUGGAUGAAGACGUAGAUUUCCAGACCUACAGCAAGAAAUUGGAUGAAGGCACAGCGCCUCAAAUCACGCACAUACACGGACACAUUGGCCCAAAUUCUAGAGCUAACCUCCUUUAGUAUGCCCAGAGGAAGGGCAGUACAGUAGCCAUGGAUUCCCUACAGGUUUCCUCCCCUCUGGAGGUUUUUCCUGUCCUGAGUUAGUUACUGUUCGCUCUUUGUGAGUGAUGGAGGUUACAUAAAAUCCCUACACAAACAUUUUAAUAUAUAAUAAAUAAAGUUCCCCUUUUUAAACCAUUCUUUAAUUUGUUUGACC